rnacentral:lncRNA from 10 species
CUCCGGCUGAGGCGUGGGCGAAGACUACGGUUGAUUGGUAGAGCGUGCUCCUAUCGCAGAGGCUGUUAUUCCUUGGGUCUCCCGGCUGAGGGGAGGAGCCGAGCGAGCGGCGGGUGUCCCUGAGAGGCCACCUUUCGACCUUCGAGGGCCAGGAGGAUACGGGGAGGUGGCCGGAGGGAGUUCCCGAACACAGGUCUUCCUGUUCCCGCCGAGCAGGUGUUGGCGGUGCCAGGCCCGGCCUGGCGGGCCCGGGCUGGCAGCCAAAUACCCAGCGUCUGUGCUCGGGACGGGAGUGUUCGUCCAGGACGUGCAGCUCCGGAGCCUGCGCGGGCGACCUUGACCACCUUUGUCGGCUGUUUCCCCCUGAGGGAAGUAUACCUGUCCUGCCAGCCUUGGUCUCUGGCAGGGAAGGUCCUUCCAACAGAGAGGGAAUUGCUUAGAAUUGACUCAACACUGCCUCCUUGCUGAAUGGAUAAUUCAAGCAAACAACUCAAGAGCUGGAUGCUGCCCAGACAGGUAGGCAGCCAGAUAAAGUGAGUGUCCAGGGAAAGAGCAGUAAGGGUCAGAAGAGAAAGAGCCUGGUGUUCUCACUGCCUCCUGCCUUCCUUAUGACUGUCUGUUCAGAAGUCCUCCUAGCAUCUUUCUUCUGCCUUCCCCUGCUCCUGUCCCUGAAACCUUUUCUUCAAAAGAAGUGGAAAAGAGGAACUGGGAACCCAUAUAGCAACAGCAUCACCUGGAAUGAAUUCCUUUAGAACAUACUGUCUUGGAAAUCUGAAGCCUGCAGGGCUGGACAGGCAAGAAGAGCAGUGAGCACUGCAUGAACCUGUAAGUAAAUCUGCAUGUGGAUGGUGUUUUGGGUUUUUUUCAGACAGAGCCUUACUCUGUUGCAUAGGCUGGAGUGCAGUGGCACGAUCUUGGCUCACUGCAACCUCUGCCUCCUGGGCUCAGGUGAUUGUCCCACCUCAACCUCUCAAGUAGCUGGGACCACAGGUGUGCACCAACAUGCGCAGCUAAUUUUUGUAGAGAUGGGGUUUCGCCGUGUUGGCCAAGCUGGUCUCGAACUCCUGGGCCAAGCAAUCGGCCUCCCAAAGUGUUGAGAUUACAGGCGUGAGCUACUGCACCAGGCCACACAUGCUUAUUUUACUCAGUCUUGCCCCUGAAUACCCGAAGGUCUAAACUUAGGAAAAAGUCAGGGGAGGGAUGAGUUUGUCAUUCUUUGGAGUCGUUAUAUUUGGGUGAGUGCUGGCACUAUGGGUAGGAUAUUAUUUAGAAGCUGAGUUGUGUGCUGAGCAAAUGUUUCUUUAAAAACCAAAGCCGUAUGAGAUCUGUUAUAGAGGCACAGUGUGGCUAAAUAGUGUGCGAUAAGAUAAGCAUAGGGCUCCUGAGGUGUUGCUGUUCUCCCACUGUAAUGAGUUUACUCUUCUUCCUAAGGAAAGUGAUCCUUUAUCACCUCUCCUCUCAAAUUCACUGGCUUGUUUCGUGAGUGUGCCUUCAUGGAAUCAUGUCUCCUUCUCUUCCCUCAGUUCUCUCCUUCCCUCCCUUACGUAUGACUCCUCCCAUAAUCCGCACACAUGGAUUGAACCAAGUGAGGGUAUUUUUCUGUUUCCUACCUCAUAGAAGGGCAUAGAGUGGACACGGUCUAAGGUUAGUUCCUGAACUGAGUACCCACAUAUGCAGAACUUUAUUUAAAGCUGCUGAAAUCUUUGUAUAACAGAUAGAUCAAUAGGACUGAAAACUACUGAUGGUUUUACUUACUUGUUGAACGUGACUAAGUUCCAUGGCACCAUUUAGAAAUUGUGUUGUAUAGUUUUCGUAUGUUGCUUAAGAAACAGUUUAGCAUAAUGGUUAAAAGCAUGGCCUCUGGAACUAGAUUGCCUCUGUAUGCCUCAGUUUCCUCAUCUGGGAAUAAUAAUAGUUCUACCUCAUGGGAUUGCUAUGAGGAUUAAAUGAUUUAAUUUAAUUAAAUGAUUUCAUACAAAACUGAAUUGUACUUGACACUUAGUACUCAGGUAUUAACUGGGACCGUUAUUAUCAUCACAGAUGUUGUUUACAAGCACUUGCCUUUGAGAUUUGUUUAGCUUUUUUAUUAAAUUACUAGCGGUAUACUAGAACAGUACGUAGGCUGGGGCCUGGAGUCAAAUUCUAGCUUUGCCUCUUAUAGUUUUGAAACUUUGAGUAAAUUACUUGAUGUGUCUGAGUUUUAAUAUUCUUAUAUGUAAUUUACUUUUAAAAAGAAUUUUGCUUAGUGUUGAUAUACACACAUUUAACACAGUUAUAGAAAUUAUUGUUUUUACUAUUGUCAUAUGAGGAAAUUCGUCCCUGGGUUGCUGUAGGGUGCUAAUGGUUAGGCAAACUCUCUUUGAAGUCUGCCUGAUCUGGCCCCUUGCAGGCAUGUACUCCGAAAUAUUUUUCAAAUGGAAAAGAAAACAGAGAACACAAUUUUCAAAAUAUCUAGAGCCCUCCAAGAAGUCUUUGUAGAGAUCUAUAAAAUCUCAAGGCAAUUUAAAGGUAAUAAGACAACUUUAUUAAUAAUUAAUUAAAAUGUAAAUGUUAAUGAUAGCCCUUUGUAUAGCUAUAUUAUCUUUUUCUGAAGAAUAGAAAAAUGUUUUAGAAACACUAUUCUCUCCACAUCCUGGGGCAGCAGCCUUCUCCAAAGAAACAGAAAGAAGGAAAUGGAUUGCCUUAGCAAAAAAACAAAUGAAGACACUCCAAAUAACAGAAGAAUGGGAAGGCUACAGACCUUGAAGUCAGAAGAAAAUUUCCUCUCCUUGCCCCGUUUCUCCUUAAAUGGAUCACCAGUACAGUCUCUUACUUCUAGAGCCAUGUUAAGCUUUCUUCCCCAAAGUUGUAAUGUCCUUCUUUUGGUUGUGUCGUGUCCUAAAAUCCUACUCUUUGGUACAAGAUGAAGGUAUAUGAAGAGAUAAUGAAGGAAACAAAUUCAAUGUGUUUGCCAAGAACACAGUCUUUUAAAUAACUCUUAAAGGGUUCGUUUAAAACAGUGUAAUAAAUUGUGGUAAUCUAGUACACAAAGCUAGUAGGAACCUCGUUUAUUAAUAAUAUUUCAACAUUGAGCAGUAGAGGGCAGCACUAUCCUUCUUUUGCAAAAUGUUGAGCACUCUUGAGAAGGAAAAUAAAGGCAAAGCUCCUGACCCCUGUGUCUGUGUUUACUUUUACCAUUAAAAAAAAACAAAAAAUUGGAGUAUUUUUAUUAUGGUUUAGGUGAUUAUGUAUAAAGAAUGUCAGAGCCUGCAUUACCUGGAAGUGGUGCACCAGGUAAUGCAAAAAACACGGAAGGUUUGAGGUCCCCCACUCAGGAUAUGGGUUCUGUCUAGUAAAGAUAAACAGUAGCUUGACCCUGGGUAAUCAGAUAGGGUUAUUGUAUGAACAGACCUAAUGCUCCUGCACGUUCUGGAUAGAAGUCAAUCUACUGAAAUAGCAGGAUGUAGUUUUAAAAAAUGUGUGUAACUCAUAUAGUCUUAGCCCUGAUAAGUGCUUCUAAAUUCUUAUUCACUGCCUUUAUUCUGCUGUGUUAGUGUUGCUCUCUGUCAUACGUGGGUCAGGUCAGAACUAGCUCAAAUACAGUAUGUGUAUUAUGACUUUAAGGAGUGGUGUCAGACAAGAUGGGUAAAGAAUGUCUUUCAUGGGACUGCAGUUGGCUAAAUGGCUGUGUAUAAGUAGUGAAAUUGAAGCCUUGUAUGCUCGUCGUCAUUCUAUCACAGUAUGAUUUGAGUUUCCCUAACCGGUAAACAGCAAGAAAAAAUGAUCUGUUAUUUUUUACUAAAGUUACUUGAUGCUCUUUAGCAAGCUGACAGAAUAAUUCUAAUUUUAGCAAAUACAAAACCAUGGUAAUCCUAGCACAUUUGGAUUCUGUUUAACCCUGAAAACUCUUUUGGCAGCAAAUCUUCAAUGCCAAUUUAGAUAAAUCCCACUAGGAAUAAGCACUGAAAGACGUUGAGUCUAGUUCCCAGCUCUGCCAUGUGAAGUUGGGCAAAUUACAGUCUCUGAGCUUUUAUUUCAUCUGUUAAAUGGAGAUAAUACCUCCUAGAUUUAUUAAAAGGGUCAAUUUAGAAAAUAUGUAUUAAAAUGGUUUGAAAGCCAUUUAAGUACCUAAUGAAUAUUUCUAUCACUGUAGCCCAAAAAGAUUCCUGCCUAGAAGACUUUAUGUCUCUUCUCCUCAUUUGGUAUCAUUCUAUUGCCUGAGAUUGUUAAUUAACUUUUAUGUAUACUCAAUAUUUUCUCCCAACUUGGUUGCUAGUUCCUUGAGAACUGAAACCAUCAAUUGCACUUCUUGGUAUCCUCCACAAUAAGGUAUCUAGGUACUCAAAUAUUUGUUGGUUGAUUAAAAACAUAAACCACAAGACAUAAUUAACUCUUUUUAAAAUUGUGGUAAAAAAACAUGUAUUUACCAUCUUAAUCAUUUUUAAGUAUACUGUAUAUUAGUGUUUACUAUAUGCACAUUGUUGUGCAACACAUCUCUAGGACUUUUUCAUCCAGAAUUCUUUUUUUUUGAGACAGAGUCUUGCUGUGUCGCCCAAGCUGGAGUUCAGUGGCACCAUCCUGGCUCACUGCAACUGCUGCCUCCCAGGUUCAAGUGAUUCUCCUGCCUCAGCCUCCCGAGUAGCUGGGAUUACAUGUGCCUGCCACCACGCCUGGCAAGUUUUUGUAUUUUUAGUAGAAAUGGUGUUUUACCAUGUUGGCCAAGACUGGCCUAGAACUCCAGACCUCAAGUGAUCCACCCGCCUCAGCAGCCCAAAGUGGUGGGAUUACAGGCAUGAGCAACUGUGCCUGGCCUAGCCAUUUUCUAUAAACCUGAAAAUAGAUGCCAGAAAAGAAGGUGCCGCUAUAAAAUGCUUUCUUGAGUGAUUUAUGUCUAACAUACAAUUAAACAUUUAUGAGAAGGAAAUUAUCAGGUUAAAAUAUAAACUCACUUGCCAAUUAUUUGAUUUUCAGGAUAUCUGACUUUUGUUAAUUACUGAAAAUAAAGUAUUAUUUCUAAUCACUAUUGGUAUCACAAUAGCAUUUUUAUUUGGCCGGUAUGUGUGAGGCCUGGAGUAUGACGGGAAACUGUCCUAGAAAAGGCCCUUGCAUUGGCUGUAGAGAGUUCUGGAACUCUCAAGAUGGCAAGAUUGUAUUUAACUCUUUUAAAAACAAUGCACCUUUUCAAGCACAGAUUUUCAUCUGAUGUUGUGACCGUCAAUUAUGUCAGAUUUGUUUGAUAUAUUAAAAAAUUGGUUUCUCCUUUGCACAAAAUAAAUUAUAGAUGGAUAUAAGAUUUAAAUAUUUUAAACAAUAUAGGGAAAAUAAUAUAUUUGAAACAUAGUAUUAGG